AUCAAGCUGACGAAUCCGAAAUAGGACGAAACGUGCGUCCUGGAU
rnacentral:hammerhead_ribozyme from 1 species